ACCAAACAUUUCAACCCAACAAUUCGUUAGGCAAGUCCUCCAAGACGGCCACGACACCGAUCCCGAUUUCCAAUCCAAUGCUUGGCUUUCAGCCCUGCAAUUAAACGGAUCUGCCACUCCUCUGGGCGCAAUCACUCACCAUCAUGAAAGAGUAGAUCACGUCAUCGGUGUUAUCAAAUCCUGCAAUCCCAAUGGGUUUGGAGAUGCAACAGUUACACUCAAGGACCCUACGGGCACUGUUGGCGCUAGUAUCCAUCACAAGGUCUUCACUGAAAGCGUAUUUGCGAAAGACAUAACUGUUGGAUCUGUUCUGCUUCUCCAAAAGGUCGCUGUGUUCUCUCCUAGAAAGUCUAAUUGUUAUCUGAAUAUAACCUUG